rnacentral:rRNA from 1 species
AUGGAUGGAGCCAGUAGUGCAAGCGGCGGCGAAGGCUCAGCAGAGCCGCAUCGGUCACCGCCACCGCCAGAACGGCGGUACAAGGGCGUCCGGCUGCGGAAAUGGGGCCGGUGGGUGUCGGAGAUCCGCAUGCCCAACAGCCGCGAGAGGAUAUGGCUCGGCUCCCACCAGUCCGCCGAGAAGGCGGCGCGUGCGUUCGACGCGGCAGCCGUCUGCCUCCGCGGCUCCCGCGCCGGGUCUCUCAACUUCCCAGAGUUCCCGCCCGACGUGCAGCACGUCCCUGGCAUAGUGCCUACCCCCGAGCGUAUCCAGGCGGCGGCCACGAGGCACGCGAACCGCCCAUAUCCGAUUCCGGCGGGCCGGGCAAUGACGGUCACCACUGCUAUGCCAUCGCAGGAAGUGACGAGCACGUGCAAUGCCAUAGCUGUAAAGUCAUCGCCGUCCGCUGGCAAUGCCGCUGCCUACGACGAUGUGCUUGAUUGGUCGUUCAUGGAUGCGUUGCCGUCGAUGCCUGCGUCGUCGGCGCCGGGGACCAAUGUUCCGGUUAUGGAUGAUGUUAUGUUCGGUUUCUCGCCGAUGCCGCCACCGCCACCGCCAGAAGAGCCGGACGAGGAUAUGAUCGACGAUGAUGGUGAUGACCAUGCAUUUAUAUCUGACCUCUGGAGGUUCUGA